rnacentral:rRNA from 1 species
UAGGGAAUUUUCCGCAAUGGGCGCAAGCCUGACGGAGCAACGCUGCGUGAGCGAGGACGGCCUUCGGGUUGUAAAGCUCUGUUCUUCGGGAAGAACGGCGGGAGGGCGAAUAACUCUCUCGCAUGACGGUACCGAAGGAGAAAGCCCCGGCUAACUACGUGCCAGCAGCCGCGGUAAUACGUAGGGGGCGAGCGUUGUCCGGAAUUAUUGGGCGUAAAGCGCGCGUAGGCGGCCGGUUAAGUCCUGUGUGAAAGACCACGGCUCAACCGUGGGGGUGCACGGGAAACUGGCCGGCUUGAGUGCAGGAGAGGGGAGCGGAAUUCCCGGUGUAGCGGUGGAAUGCGUAGAGAUCGGGAGGAACACCAGUUGGCGAAGGCGGCUCUCUGGCCUGUAACUGACGCUGAGGCGCGAAAGCGUGGGGAGCGAACA